rnacentral:snoRNA from 1 species
AAGCCUAAGUGAUGAUUCACAUUCAUGUCUCUUCUCUGAUAUAUUCUUGAAGAAAAUUCGGUGUAUCUGAUUGGCCU